ensembl:lincRNA linc-20 ncRNA
AAAAUUGAGCGAUUAGCGCCAAGAAGCGUCGGAUGCGAAUCGACAAAAAUCCACGGAAUUUCAACAAAUCGACUCUUAUUUAAACAUCAAUCAGAAGACUACGCCCUGGACUCCAAAAACUACAAUUCGAGAAGUUUUCGAAUCGAUAAGAAUGACGAGGAUACUCCGAAAAGGAUCCAAGAUUAGCCAAUCGAAAACGCCACGGAAAUGCAUCUACAGAGCAACCGAGUGCAGCAGAGACAGCGGAUCGAGGGAAAAUCCCGAAAAAAUCUAAUUUUUUUGCAUUUUUUGAAAUUUUUCCUAAAUAAAUUUUAUUGAG